GCCGGGGUGUCCGAGCGGACUAAGGAGCUGGCCUUGAGAGCCAGUGCCCCAUCGGGGGCACGCGGGUUCGAAUCCCGCCCCCGGCG
rnacentral:tRNA from 1 species